rnacentral:rRNA from 1 species
UACGUAGGGCGCAAGCGUUGUCCGGAAUUAUUGGGCGUAAAGAGCUCGUAGGCGGCUUGUCACGUCGGGUGUGAAAGCUCGGGGCUUAACCCCGGGUCUGCAUUCGAUACGGGCUGGCUGGAGUGUGGUAGGGGAGAUCGGAAUUCCUGGUGUAGCGGUGAAAUGCGCAGAUAUCAGGAGGAACACCGGUGGCGAAGGCAGCUCUCUGGGACGGUACUGACGCUGAGACGCGAAAGCGUGGGGGAGCGAACAGG